UGUCAGUCACACCUGAAGUGGACAUUGAUUGGCUGUCAUUGUGUUUGGGUUUGUUGUAGCGUAACCUGAUAGCCUCCCAUUGAUCUUGGGGAGGACCGAGUGAAGAGCCGUGAGGAGACGUGAAAAUGGAGGAGCGGGAAAUUCACAUUUCAAGAACGCCCCGACGGCACCAUCGAUAAAGAGCAGGAUGGCUGUCCAAGGUCAGUGCCUCCCAGUCUAGGAAGGAAAGACAGUCAAGAACCGGGAGGAGGAGGAGGAAGAGGAAGAGGAGAGUUGAGCUGAUAAUAGCAAGGACCUGGAGGACGUAGGAAAAGAUAGUAGAGCGAGGUUCCUCUACAGAUUCGGUGUUAUUCGUUCCUGUUCUUACAGAGCUAGAAAUCCAAUACGUUUACACUGUGGGAAAGAAGAAAAACCAUCAAGAGUGCACGUCUCAGUCAAGAUCACUCAUCUUUCAUUCCAGGGACCACUACAAACAGGGCCACCGAGCUGCCCCGUGACCAGAUGCCAUAGAUGUCCCAGUAACUGACCUCACCUCUGGAUCGUCCUUGUCUUCUGUCCUAUCUGUGCCUGCAGCUGACCCGUGACACAGAGAUGUCAUGCAGAGGAGCUGGCAGCGGGAAGAGCAGCCGCAGCAGAUGCACUCCGACACUCCCAGAUCCCCCGAAGCAAACGCACCGACACAAAUUCCUGCUUGGGCAAGCGGAAGAGGUGACAAAACACAUCAGGUAACAUUUCCUUUACGCAUGGUUCCCGCCCUUUCCUGUCACAGACGCUGGAUGCCUCCACGUCAGGCAUUAAUGGUCAUCCGUAGUGACAGGAACCUUUCGGCAGCAGGACGUGUGCAGCGGAGGCGUUAAACUGGUUGUUAACUGGUGCAGCAGAUGCCAAAUGGUAAACGGGAAACAACAUAAAUAUUACUGCAUUAGUAUUCAUGUGCAGAGUGGACAGAUGUUUGGAGGGGAGGGGAGGGUAAUUAAAAAAGCAAAGCUCAUUAGUGGAUCUGUUGGAGCCGCUUUUGACAAGAGUUUUACAUGCAUUAAAAAGAAGACAAUGAUGUCACAGACCGCUCCGUGACGAGGCCACACGAAGGUGUCGCUACUGAAAACCCUUCAGCCGUAAAAGUAUGGACAUCACAGUGGAAUUAAUGAAAUUUGAAAAUCUUGGAUAACUCAGUUGGACUUUUAUUGGUCUGAAUAUUGACGAUAAAACGACACAUACAUUCUGGAAAAAGAUAGGAAGAGAUGGAAAAACUCAAGGUCAUACAUGUAGUAUUCUGGGAUGUUCCACAAUUAGCAGGUUCUGUAAACUGUUUUUUUUUUUUUUGUAGCUUCACUAAAGGCUGAACCUUUGUGAGUCAGUAAAGACUGUGAGCUCAUCACUUUGUCGUAACAGUUUGUGAGAGAGUUGUUUAUUAUUUAUCAACCUUUUUUUUCCUUCCUUUCUUUUCAGUUUCAAAUAGCGAAAAACUCAGACUUUAUAACAUAGAAUUCUUGGAGGAGAUUUAAGGAAUUCAAGUCAGAAACUGCCUCUAAAGGUGUGUGACCUCUGACUGACCUCAGGUCUUGUCUGUAUAUUCUAUUUAUCCAUGUGGGCCUGUCUUGUUGAACUAUUACGGCAUCAAAAUGCUCCAUUAUUAUGUGAAAUACAUAUAUAAAUACAUAUAUAGAGAGAAAUA